rnacentral:rRNA from 1 species
AACGAACGCUGGCGGCAUGCCUAACACAUGCAAGUCGAACGAGACCUUCGGGUCUAGUGGCGCACGGGUGCGUAACGCGUGGGAACCUGCCCUUAGGUUCGGAAUAACUCCCCGAAAGGGGUGCUAAUACCGGAUAAUGUCUUCGGACCAAAGAUUUAUCGCCUUUGGAUGGGCCCGCGUUGGAUUAGCUAGUUGGUAGGGUAAAAGCCUACCAAGGCGACGAUCCAUAGCUGGUCUGAGAGGAUGAUCAGCCACACUGGGACUGAGACACGGCCCAGACUCCUACGGGAGGCGGGAGUGGGGAAUAUUGGAAAAUGGGCGAAAGCCUGAUCCAGCAAUGCCGCGAGAGUGAUGAAGGCCUUAGGGUUGUAAAGCUCUUUUACCCGGGAUGAUAAUGACAGUACCGGGAGAAUAAGCACCGGCUAACUCCGUG